AAAAGCCGAGAUGUGGCCUAUGUGUCAAGACCUCGCCCCGCGGACGGUAGUGGUGUCCCAACUUUCAAGGUGCCAAAUACAAAGGCGGGCCAAUGGUAUAGAAGCAGAGGCCUAAAACUCCCACCGGUACCCAUGAGCAAAACUCAAACGAGAAGAGCUCAAAGGCAAUAUGCCAUUACUUGCAAGGCGGAGUUAGAAUGGGCGGACAAGAG
rnacentral:lncRNA from 1 species